CAGUCGCCACGGUAAUGCGUAGGGUGCGAGCGUUAAUCGGAAUUACUGGGCGUAAAGAGUUCGUAGGUGGUUAAUUAAGUUAUCUGUGAAAUUCCUGGGCUUAACCUGGGCAGGUCAGAUAAUACUGGUUAACUCGAGUAUGGGAGAGGGUAGUGGAAUUUCCGGUGUAGCGGUGAAAUGCGUAAAGAUCGGAAGGAACACCAGUGGCGAAGGCGGCUACCUGGCCUAAUACUGACACUGAGGCACGAAAGCGUGGGGAGCAAACAGGAUUAGAUACCCCGGUAGUCCCUGUCUCUUAUAC
rnacentral:rRNA from 1 species